rnacentral:lncRNA from 1 species
UUUUUUCUUCUUUUAUUUGUGUUGAUCUGAGCACCGCCCUAGCGAACUAUUGGGUUGAGGGACCCAGCCCAGACAACUUUGGAGUAGAGUCACUUCCAAUAGCUUCAGUAAAGCUCUUAAAAUACGAGAAAUAUCAAUCGGUGGAAAUUUCUGUGGUUGGUUCUUGAACCGAUUCCAUUUCAGGUUCCCCAAGACAACAAUGAAUGGACUCUUUCUGGGGAGGUUGAGGGAAGGAUAAAGCAGCUAAGGCAGGAUAUCAUUGUUGUAAGCCUCCUUCACUGCAUUAGAUUAGCGCCCUAUUGAUCGUGUCUUCGGAGGGUUGGAGAAGCGUUAAAUACUCCUUUAGGAAAGAACUCCUUGCCAUCUUUACGCCUUACAUGCGGCAUAAAUUGCAUAAAUUAAAGUAGAGGUCACAAGAUGACCUAAAGUCCAGAAAAAACCCACUCUCCCCCGGGAGUGCUUUCGAGAACACAUGCACCGGUUAUUGCAUCAACAUCUUCUACAGAUAGUUUACCAAGAAUAGCAAAGGAGAUUCCACCAAGAACUUCUAUUGCUAAAAGAGCUAAUUCAAGUGCAGUACUUACUGUAACAAGAACAACGUGAACUCAUUCUCAAGCACUUGCAGCGACAAUGUGGUAUUCUCUUCCACGCAGCCUUUUCCUGACGAAAUUUCUAGUGGGGUUUACUCUGGUAUAGGCGUGAACCAUAUUUACAGAGAAGCAAACUCUUCUGCAGAUUCUAUAGCCGGCUCCUCCCUUUCUGGUUUGCAUGUCUUUCAUUCUGAAUUGCCUCCUUUGACUCGUGCAUGCUUGCGUUUAGAUAGGUUAGAUACUUCUUAUAUUAGGAGAAUUAUUGUAAAGGAGUAGUAAGGGAGUGAAACCCCGAUCUAAUCUUACACGUGCGAGGACAGUCCUCUGAAUAGAGUCCAUUGCAUCCCACAAUAAUCGACGGGCAGCCCUCGUACAUUUAGCAUAAACCGCUGAAAACUCGAAAGUCUGUCCACUCUGAGUGGGCAGAGCCUUAUUACCUUAUUAAUAGGAGGGAUGCAAGGAAUUGAUGCUACGAAUGCCAUAGCAAGUGAAUCAGAAUAAGCCCUAGCCCAGCUACUGAUUGGAAAGGUUUAAAUAAGAGUGUGCCUAGCGUCUUUCGCUCUCUCUUAUUAGAAGAAGGAAGGGGCGCGACCCCACUCAGCUCGAAGAAGUAGCUCUUUCAACUAAUCCAUACUUUUCCUCUCCAACCAGUCAAGUGGCCCAAGGGCCACCUCAAUCUUAUUCUGUUUCCGAUCCUGCUUCAGAUUCUCUUUCAGUUGUGGAAACAAGCCCCUAUUCCUAUCGGUUGAGUAGCCCAAGCUCCUUAAAGCGUAUUGUCCCCUCUCCUGUGAAAGAAAGAGGUUGAUGCACCCAGCUACCCGAAGUAGAGCUUUCUUUGUCCCACCUUUCCUUACUGACUUUCCUAGUUUAGAUAGCGUAUUGAGAAUCAUGUCAAAAUACACCAAGACCUGGGCCCAGGUUCUCUUUCUUCAAGAAAGGGUAGCUUUAAACAACCCGGUUCCAAACACACCAAACAAGCAAGCGACUCCCCUUCCUUAGCGUACCCGUCCAUUAAGGCAUUCUUCCUUCUUGCGUAUGUGUUAUAGCUCAUAGCUCUAAGCCCCAAUUCCUUGGUGAAAAGAGCUGUCGCCUUUAAAUCAUCGAAAAAAGAAAAGAAGGAACCGCUCGAAAGGGACCACACAACAAUGGCUCAUAACUGGAAAACAUAACAACAAUGUCUCCUAGCUGCAAAAGAAUGGCUCCCAACUGAAAAUUUCUCUCGAUCACUCUCUAACAGAAAGCCAUUUUCCCUUUCGCAAAAAGUCAACUUGGACUUCUUUCCUAAGCGGAGAUUUGGACUACAUGGACCUAAGCAACCCGCCGACAGGGGCAGCCUUUCACUGUUGGAAACUUUGAUUUAGAUUGGUAGGAUUCUGUCUAAUCUUUCCUAAUUUCGAAAUUGCACUCAAUCAACAUAGUUUCCACUCAUUCCUUCUCGACCGCCUCUUUUCUAGUCACUUUUGAUCAAAUCUUUCUUGUGAUUUUCUAUUCUCUUAUGAGAAAUGGUUUGCUUCGUUUGAGCCGUCGUCGCUUAAUGCAUGUAGGGGGGCUGGGGCUUUUCCCCCACGACCCCUUUUAAAGGAGAACCAGAAGAACAACAAUGAACUCAAAGCUAAUGAAGGAGAUCCGCAACUUGAACAAGGUAGACGGGAUCUUUCCUACCCCUUUCUAUUUCGACUUCUUUGAAAGGUGAAAGAGUAAGAAGCUAGACCGACUUGCUCUUAAAUUAAAAGCAGCAAGAGCAAGUAAGUAGGCUUUUCUCCGCAAGAACAAUCUUGACUUUCUUUAUACUUUAUAAUAUAAGGCCCUUUAAACGAUCGUAAAUGGCCUGAAAUGUAACGACCUAUGAGAGAGGGGUUUUUAGAAAAGAAAGCGUACCAAUCCGGCAAACAAAGCAAAAACAACGGCUCCUACAUAAAUACAAUAGAAUAGAAAUGCUGUCUGUCACUAGCAAGUAAGUAGGCUUUUCUCCACAAGAACAAUCUUGACUUUCUUUAUACUUUAUAAUAUAAGGCCCUUUAAACGAUCGUAAAUGGCCUGAAAUGUAACGACCUAUGAGAGAGGGGUUU